rnacentral:rRNA from 1 species
GACGAACGCUGGCGGCGUGCCUAAUACAUGCAAGUAGAACGCAGUUGCGAACGGGUGAGUAACGCGUAGGUAACUGCCUGGUAGCGGGGGAUAACUAUUGGAAACGAUAGCUAAUACCGCAUACUACCAGAUGGACCUGCGUUGUAUUAGCUAGUUGGUGGGGUAACGGCACCCCAAGGCAACGAUACAUAACCGAACUGGGGAGGUGAUCGGCCACACUGGGACUGAGAAAAGGCCCAGACUCCUACGGGAUGCAGGAGUAGGGAAUCUUCGGCAAUGGGGGGAACCCUGGCCGAGCAACGCCGCGGGAGUGGAGAAGGUUUUCGGAUCGUAAAGCUCUGUUGUUAAGGAAGCGGUACUUAACCAGAAAGGGACGGCUAACUACGUGCCAGCAGCCGCGGUAAUAC